UGGGGAAUANNNNNCAAUGGGGGGAACCCUGAUGCAGCAACGCCGCGUGAGUGAAGAAGGCAUUCGUGUCGUAAAACUCUGUAGUAGGGGAAGAAAGAAAUGACAGUACCCUAAAAGAAAGCCCCGGCUAACUACGUGCCAGCAGCCGCGGUAAUACGUAGGGGGCAAGCGUUAUCCGGAAUAACUGGGCGUAAAGGGUGCGCAGGUGGUUUAACAAGUUAGUGGUGAAAGGCAUAGGCUCAACCAAUGUAAGCCAUUAAAACUGCUUAACUUGAGUGCAGGAGAGGAAAGUGGAAUUCCUAGUGUAGCGGUGAAAUGCGUAGAUAUUAGGAGGAAUACCAGUGGCGAAGGCGACUUUCUGGACUGCAACUGACACUGAGGCACGAAAGCGUGGGGAGCAAACAGGAUUAGAUACCCUGGUAGUCCACGCCGUAAACGAUGAGUACUAGGUGUCGGGUGAAGAACUCGGUGCCGAAGUUAACACAUUAAGUACUCCGCCUGGGGAGUACGCUCGCAAGAGUA
rnacentral:rRNA from 1 species